CAUGUUUAAAAUAUUAAUCACAUGCCUUCUCGUGUCGUGAGUAUUGACUAAACGGACUGCCUACGGUGAUGAUUUCCACUAAAUGACAGACUUGCCGUAACGCUCCAAUCAGUGCCAGUCACACCCUGCGGACUCGAAAAUUCAAUACGGACUCUGUGCAGGAUAAUAAAGUUUAUCCGCUUUUUUCCUCUUGAGCGGACACCGCAGUAGGAGCUACGGUUACGUUAGCAAGCUAGCCGUAGCUGGGCACGCCGGGUAAUCCUCAGGAAUCCCCACGUACUACGCAUCCUGACGUGAUGUUGGAUUUUUUUUCGGGAAG